rnacentral:rRNA from 1 species
GAUGAACGCUGGCGGCGUGCCUAAUACAUGCAAGUCGAGCGAACGGACGAGAAGCUUGCUUCUCUGAUGUUAGCGGCGGACGGGUGAGUAACACGUGGAUAACCUACCUAUAAGACUGGGAUAACUUCGGGAAACCGGAGCUAAUACCGGAUAAUAUUUUGAACCGCAUGGUUCAAAAGUGAAAGACGGUCUUGCUGUCACUUAUAGAUGGAUCCGCGCUGCAUUAGCUAGUUGGUAAGGUAACGGCUUACCAAGGCAACGAUGCAUAGCCGACCUGAGAGGGUGAUCGGCCACACUGGAACUGAGACACGGUCCAGACUCCUACGGGAGGCAGCAGUAGGGAAUCUUCCGCAAUGGGCGAAAGCCUGCCGGAGCAACGUCGCGUGAGUGAUGAAAGUCUUCGGAUCGUAAAACUCUGUUAUUAGGGAAGAACAUAUGUGUAAGUAACUGUGCACAUCUUGACGGUACCUAAUCAGAAAGCCACGGCUAACUACGUG